AACUCUCCGAAAGGAGUGCUAAUACCAGAUAUUUUAUAAUUUUCUAUGAUAAUUAUAACAAAGGUAGCCGCAAGGCUUCUGCUUUAAGAUGAGUCCGCGUCCUAUUAGCUUGUUGGUAGGGUAAUGGCCUACCAAGGCUAUGAUGGGUAGCCGGUCUGAGAGGACGGACGGCCACACUGGGACUGAGAUACGGCCCAGACUCCUACGGGAGGCAGCAGUAGGGAAUAUUGCGCAAUGGGCGAAAGCCUGACGCAGCGACACCGUGUGUAGGAUGAAAAUCUUCGGAUUGUAAACUACUGUCAGUUGAAGACGAAGGCAGUAGAGUUAAGAGCUCGAAUGUUGACGGUAUUCAAUUAGGAAGUCUCGGCUAACUCCGUGCCAGCAGCCGCGGUAAGACGGAGGAGGCAAGCAUUGUCCGGAAUUAUUGGGCGUAAAGAACACGUAGGCGGUUUAUCAAGUCAUAUGUGAAAACCUUGGGCUUAACUUAAGGAUUGCAUACGAUACUGGUAAACUAGAGUAUAGUAGAGGAAAGCGGAAUUCCUGGUGUAGCGGUGAAAUGCGCAGAUAUCAGGAAGAACACCAGUGGCGAAAGCGGCUUUCUGGACUGUUACUGACGCUGAGGUGUGAAAGCUAGGGGAGCGAACAGGAUUAGAUACCCUGGUAGUCCUAGCCGUAAACGAUG
rnacentral:rRNA from 1 species